rnacentral:snRNA from 1 species
AUCGCUUCUCGGCCUUUUGGCUAAGAUCAAGUGUAGUAUCUGUUCUUAUCAGUUUAAUAUCUGAUACGUCCCCUACCCGGGGACCAUAUAUUACAUUGAUUUUUGGAACAGGGAGAUGGAAUAGGGGCUUGCUCCGUCCACUCCACGCAUCGACCUGGUAUUGCAGUACCUCCAGGAACGGUGCACCCCCC